AGUGAACGCUGGCGGUAGGCCUAACACAUGCAAGUCGAACGGCAGCACAGUAAGAGCUUGCUCUUACGGGUGGCGAGUGGCGGACGGGUGAGGAAUACAUCGGAAUCUACUUUUUCGUGGGGGAUAACGUAGGGAAACUUACGCUAAUACCGCAUACGACCUACGGGUGAGAGCAGGGGAUCUUCGGACCUUGCGCGAUUGAAUGAGCCGAUGUCGGAUUAGCUAGUUGGCGGGGUAAAGGCCCACCAAGGCGACGAUCCGUAGCUGGUCUGAGAGGAUGAUCAGCCACACUGGAACUGAGACACGGUCCAGACUCCUACGGGAGGCAGCAGUGGGGAAUAUUGGACAAUGGGCGCAAGACUGAUCCAGCCAUACCGCGUGGGUGAAGAAGGCCUUCGGGUUGUAAAGCCCUUUUGUUGGGAAAGAAAAGCAGCAGGUUAAUACCCCGCUGUUCUGACGGUACCCAAAGAAUAAGCACCGGCUAACUUCGUG
rnacentral:rRNA from 1 species